GUUAGAUUUAAAUUAUUCUCCUAAUUGGAAUGGCAGACUUAGUUCAGUGUAACAAUUGCUAUGCAUUUGUUUCACGUUCCACUUUUUGGAGGUUUGGUUGUUGUCUAAUCUGUAGACAGUUCUCUAUCUUGCGGCAGGAGAUUGUAUUUUUGAAGUCUGAGAUUUGUAAAUUAUCUGGUGAACAAACUCAGACUGGAACUGCUGCAAAGCCACUGCCGCAGAGACAAACUAGGAAAGGCAGAUGGAUUACUGUAGGAUCUGGUAGACUUAGAGUUGUGGAUAAAAGGCAUUUUGCACAGUCUGUU